rnacentral:lncRNA from 1 species
GCUGUACACAUCCAUACACAACAGACACACAUUAUAAUAUGGUGCUGUACACAUCCAUACACAACAGACACACAUUAUAAUAUGGUGCUGUACACAUCCAUACACAACAGACACAUUCUAAUAUGGUACUGUACACAUCCAUACACAACAGACACACAUUCUAAUAUGGUACUGUACACAUCCAUCCACAACAGACACAUUCUAAUAUGUUACUGUACACAUCCAUACACAACAGACACAUUCUAAUAUGGUACUGUACAGAUCCAUACACAACAGACACAAUCUAAUAUGUUACUGUACAGAUCCAUACACAACAGACACAUUCUAAUAUUGUACUGUACACAUCCAUACACAACAGACACAUUGUAAUAUGUUACUGUACACACCCAUACACAACAGACACAUUCUAAUAUGAUUCUGUACACAUCAAUACACAAAAGACACAUUCUAAUAUGGUACUGUACACAUCCAUACACAACAGACACACAUUCUAAUAUGGUACUGUACCCAUCCAUACACAAAAGACACAUUCUAAUAUGGUACUGUACACAUCCAUACAAAACAGACACAUUCUAAUAUGGUACUGUACACAUCCAUACACAACAGACACAUUCUAAUAUGGUACUGUACACAUCCAUACACAACAGACACAUUCUAAUAUGUUGCUGUACACAUCCAUACACAACGAGACACAUUAUAAUAUGUUACUGUACACAUCCACACACAACAGACACAUUCUAAUAUGUUACUGUACAGAUCCAUACACAACAGACACAUGCUAAUAUGUUACUGUACACAUCCAUACACAACAGACACAUUCUAAUAUGGUACUGUACACAUCCAUACACAACAGACACAUUCUAAUAUGGUACUGUAAACAUCCAUACACAACAGACACAUUCUAAUAUGUUACUGUACACAUCAAUACACAACAGACACAUUCUAAUAUGUUACUGUACACAUCCAUACACAACAGACACACAUUCUAAUAUGGUACUGUACACAAACAGCCAUAAUUGUAAGGCUAAAACAGUCCAAUGAGGGGUGUGGUCAGCGUAGCUGUAUGACGUGGUGGGUUGAUAGAAACAGAAACAGCACACCAGGAACUAACAAACCAACUGCACAAGCAGCUUUACUAGUUCCACAUUUUCUGGUUGAGACAAAAUGAGCCCCCCAGGGCUGAAAAGAGACAGAU